rnacentral:rRNA from 1 species
AGAGUUUGAUCAUGGCUCAGGACGAACGCUGGCGGCGUGCUUAACACAUGCAAGUGGAGCGACGAAGCGGGCUUCGGCCCGUGGCAGAGCCGCGAACGGGUGAGUAACACGUGGGUAACGUGCCCCAAUAACUGGGACAACCCGGGGAAACCCGGGCUAAUACCGGAUGUGCUCCUUCCACAUCAGUGGAUUGAGUAAAGGUAGCUUCGGCUUCCGUAUUGGGAUCGGCCCGCGGCGCAUUAGCUUGUUGGUGAGGUAACGGCUUACCAAGGCGACGAUGCGUAGCUGGUCUGAGAGGACGAUCAGCCACACUGGGACUGAGACACGGCCCAGACUCCUACGGGAGGCAGCAGUGGGGAAUCUUGCGCAAUGCGCGAAAGCGUGACGCAGCAACGCCGCGUGGGGGAAGAAGGCCUUCGGGUUGUAAACCCCUUUCAGGAGGGACGAAGCCUGGCUGGUGAAUAGCCUGUCCAGGUGACGGUACCUCCACAAGAAGCCCCGGCUAACUACGUGCCAGCAGCCGCGGUAAUAC